UUCCAGGGUAACCCUUAGAGUUCUGUAAUCUUUCCUUAAGAUUAAUUUUCUAGCUGGCAUGAUCCCAGAAUACAGUCUUCUAUGCAAAAGUUUCUUGAGUGGUGCCUGCCCCAACUUGCAAGAAAUUGCUUUGAUUUUAUACUCAAGUUCAAGAUUUCAGGGAUCCAGACCUCUCCAGAAAAGGAAAAUUUUCUAAGCAGUGAACUUUCUAAAGUCAUCAUUCUGAAUGGGAAAGCUUCACCUGUGAGGUGCCAGAUGUAUGGUGAUAGCCACCGUUCAUGGGAGAGCUGCUUCUCACCUGUCAGAGGGAAAGGGAAGACUAAUUUACUGUCUGCCAUAAAAACCAGUCAGGCACAUUUAAGCUUUGGACGGUGCUAUCAUGGAACCAUCAUGCAUGUGGUGAUCAAUGAAAGCUUGUGUCAUGUAUCCUGUGGCUUCCCUUGGAUUCUCAUCUCUCACCAGGACAUGCUGUGAAGUUUUGUCAGUUCUCUUCCUGGGAAGGCACUCUUUGGCCUUCACAAUAUAAAUGAUGUCUCAUUCUCUUUCUGAAUUGCUUCUUUUCUUCUUGUCUUAUCAUUGUUUCUAAUAGUAUUUGCAGGCUUUGGGCAGAAUGAAGUGGCAGGCUUGACCUUGUUCUCUUUCAUUCCCCAUCCCCGAUAACCUCAACUCCCUCCCCUAUGAAUGGCAUAGGAACUUUAGAUCCUGAAGCAGAAACCUUAGCAAAUGAAUAAAAGGGUAGGACUUGGAAGGACA
rnacentral:lncRNA from 1 species